CGUAGGGGGCAAGCGUUGUCCGGAUUUAUUGGGCGUAAAGAGCGUGUAGGCGGUUUGGUAGGUCCGCUGUGAAAACUCGAGGCUCAACCUCGAGACGCCGGUGGAAACCAUCAGGCUAGAGUCCGGAAGAGGAGAGUGGAAUUCCUGGUGUAGCGGUGAAAUGCGCAGAUAUCAGGAAGAACACCCGUGGCUAAGGCGGCUCUCUAGUACGGUACUGACGCUGAGACGCGAAAGCGUGGGGAGCGAACAGG
rnacentral:rRNA from 1 species